UUGCCUUAGGUGGGGGAGAUUUUUCUCCCUCUUCACCGCCUCGCCUUCCCUCUGUUUCGAAAGGUUCGGGAAAGUCCAAGUCAUAACAUAAAAAGUGUGCGUAUUCCCGGCCGCCGGCAGGACCUGUUCGCGGGGAAGUUCCUCUUGAACUUUCUCCGAGGACAGUUGUGCACCCUGCCCGGCGCUUCACGGGGUUCCCUGGCCGUCGUUGUCUUUGUGACACCAUUUCCUCUUUUAAAUUUUCAUUUCAUGGUCUAUAUUUUCCACUUCGUCAUUUUUCUGUAGCACUCAUUAGAACAAGCCCCGAAAGGGCGACUAAGGAAACGCACAGGCGAGGCAGGAAAGCAGGAAUUUUUUUUUUUUUUUAAUCUAAUGACUAUGACGGCUUGGCAAGAAAGAGUGCACGAUAGUGGACUGGAAAUCAGAGGUGGCUUCUCCUAUUGAUUAGUUAAGUGGGAUAACAAAAACCGACCUCAUUAUUAAAUAAGAUUUGCAGUAAGGACCACAUGGCAGAUGUUAGCGAUUGUGACUACUAUCUCUGGUAUCCAACUGUGUGGCCUGGAAGAGUUACGAGAAUAAAGAUGGCACAAAGUACAACUGUAUGCCCUUGACCCCAAUUCACCUGGAGCUCACGUUUACUUCAUUCGUGUCAUCAUCUGCAUGUGCUCCCUCUCUAGAUCUGUAUGGAUAUAAGCACAUUUUUCCUUGGACUUUGUGAGGCGUUGUAAAUGGACGAGCCUGCUUGCUGCAGAGGUAACCCUCGGGACCUGGGACACUGUUUGUUGUAUAACACAGCGUUGUAAAUGGACGAGCCUGCUUGCUGCAGAGGUAACCCUCGGGACCUGGGACACUGUUUGUUGUAUAACACAGCGUUGUAAAUGGACGAGCCUGCUUGCUGCAGAGGUAACCCUCGGGAAGUCUGGUUCCCCCGAAUUUUACCUGCUCAUCUCUGGGCCAAGGGCAUAAUAUCUCUGCACAGCUAAUAGCCCGAUGGCCACACUAGUCCAGAAGCUCCGCUCUGCACAGAGUUGGAAGUUCAUCUACUUCUCAGUGAACAACAUCAUGAGUUCUUCAAAAUUGAUGCCGGUGUAGGCCAGGUGAGGUGGCUCGUGCCUGUCAUCCCAGCACUUUGUGAGGCCAAGGUGGGCGGACCAUUUGAGGUCAGGA
rnacentral:lncRNA from 1 species